GUUCAAGUUAGUUUCUGAGAUUAACCUUUUCGGUGACGCGGGGAGCCAUAUUGAAACCUGGAAACGAUGAGGCUGCACGGCUCACCGUCUUGGAUAAUGGCAAAGAUGGCCUGCAGGAGUCACUUCCUAACUGUAGUCUCCUGGCAGAAAAGAGGCAACCUCCAGCCGGUAGUCCCAGACGAGGUACCUGCAGAGAAUGAUGUAUGAUCUGGUCAUAGACACCGUGGAUUUCAACUCUCCAGAGUCUAAACGCUGAAAACACCCAACUUGAUUUAGUGCCUUACACUCUU
rnacentral:lncRNA from 1 species